ACAGAGUAAGUUCCAGGACAGUCACUGCUACACAGAGAAACUGUGUCUGGAAAAACAAAAUAAGUAAAUAAAUAAAAUGCUGAAUCCAACACAAGCACAUCUCUCCAAAGGGGCCGCAGAUCUGACAACUCAGUCACGUGCCAGGACAGCUGUUCUCUCGUCACCUCAAAGCAGCUGCUGAUGUCCACUGCUCUGUCUACAGCUAUGACAUGUCCUGGCCAAUCACAGAUUUCUUUAAAAUAAAGACCUAGUGAUUGGAUCAUCAAAAAAUUGAAAUGAACAUUUGGUGAGUUUCAAUGUAAAUCAUGACAAUUAGCAUUUUACAAUUAUGUAUUCUACAAUGUGUUUAGUGGUUUGCUAAAUAUAAUCUCACUUAUUCUCCCAACAAAGUAAGUACCACAGUUGUUCUUAUCCUACAGAUGGGUUUGACUUUCAGAAUAUUUAAGCAAAUGUACUUAAGUAACAGCUAACUAAGUCACCGAGCUGGCACAUGAAUUCUAUCUCAGAUUUGUAUACUUCAGAUAUUGUACUUGAUAUAAAAGUAUUUCCAAGUCUGGAGAUCAUCCUCGGUUAUACAGCUUGGGAUGUCUAAAUGAAGAAAUAAAUCUUAUAUUCAUCGA